rnacentral:tRNA from 1 species
GGGGCGGUAGCUCAGUUGGUUAGAGCGCCACGUUGACAUCGUGGAGGUCGUCAGUUCGACUCUGGCCCGCCCCACGA